GAACACCACGUCUACGGUCCUGGGAAACAAGCGUUCUCUUGUUUAACUGCGAUGGGGUUCCGGCCAAUGUCACAACUCUGAGGAAGACCAGGUCUUCAAAUGAGACGACCUGAUGACUCCUGAAAUUCGGCACAACCCCCUCAAUUUGCACGAACGACUCUCCUUGAUCCUCUCUGGAGCUUCUGAGCCAGCGUCUCCGUCCCUAACCGGCCGCCAGCUGCGAGUUUGCCUGCUCAGGUAGGCAGCCCCCGACCGCCGGCCGCUCUCACACGCGGCUCUGCGCUGGCCCCUUGCCAGGCGAGCCGCACCCUGCACGUGCCACCCCCGGACGGACGGCGCUCCAGGCUCGGGGCUCCCGCGGCUCACCCCCCUUGCGGCCUCCUGUCACUGAGGACAGUCACAUCCCGAAGGGACGCCGUGCCAGUUCCCCGAGGCGCAGCCGCACCUGUCCCUGCGGACGGCCGGUCCCUGGAGACCGCGCGGCCCCUGCACGGGGUCCCUCCUCCGUGCCGGGGAGAGCCGCUGCGUGCGCACUGACGCAGGGUGUGGGGCCCUCCACACCUCCCCGUGUGCUCCGUGCCUUUCAGCACCCCCGGCCCCGCUCCCUUGUGUCCCUUCCCUGCACGACGUGGAAGGGCAGCCCCUGCCCGCCUCUCCUGCCCCUUCUUCCUGUCGCACCUCCCAGCACCAAGAUGUCGCAGGGCCGAGUCCUCUCCCAGGACUAGCACGAUGCUGGGCGCACGGCCCCUCUCCCUACCUCGGUCACCCGCUGUGCCUGGCUGCCAGGACCCAGUUCCCCAAGGCCCUCCCCGCCUCGGUCCCUGGUUCGCUGCAGGGGCUUCCUGAGCCCGUAACGCUGCAGCGCACCCAACUCCACGCAGGGCCCCUUCCUCCUUCUGCCCUUGUGCUCGGGACCCCAGCCAGCGCCCCGGCCUGACACAGCCUCCGUGAGCCUGGGACGCCCGCGUUCUGUCCUCAGCUCAGCCCUCCUUCCGGAAUCGCAGGCCAGCGGCUCUCCUGCCCCCCUCCCCCCACCGCGCCCCAGUAUCUGGCCUCUGAGACCCAACCUGGCCUUCUCCCUGCAUCUCAGCCUCCACUGCGGCCGCCUCCAACUCAGCUCCUGGCCGCUCCAUCCUUCAGGCGCCGGGUGGCUCCUCAAAUGCACGGUGCUCCAGCCCAUGCCCAGCUCACUCGCCUCCUACGGGGGGUAACGCCUCUGAACUGCUGUCCUACUUCUCCAUUUGUCCCCCUUACAGACUCUUCUCAACAGAGAGAAUUUUAAAACCGUAAGUCAGAUCAUGUCUCUUCUCUGCUCAAAAUGCUGGUGCUGCUUUCAUGCAGAAGAGCUGAAGCCUGUGAACUAGGCGAUGGGAUAGUUGCUUCCCACUUACCUCUUAGCACAUUCCUCCUAGCUCACUCUGCUUCCCCCAGGCCCCUCUGCUGUUCCUGAACACACUAGAGUACUUGUGCCUCAGGGCCUUUGCAGUGACUUUCCCUUCUGCCAGGGAUGUUCUUCCUUCAAGUAUCCACAUGGCUAAUCUCUCGCCACUUCCAGUCUUUCCUCAGCUGUCACCAUUUGCAUGAGGCCUGCCCCACCCACCCUACUCAAAACCCCAACGCCUUGAUUCUACUUUCUCUCCUGCCACACAUUUCACUGGCUCCUAACAUAUCAUUCAUUCUGUUUCUUGUGCUAGAAUCUAAGGGCAGGCGUCUUUGUUUGCUCCGUGACACAUCCCUGGCACCGCGGGGCACGGGGUUUGGGAGUCUGAUUUCAGGACAGCUUCUACUACGGGACAUUGGGUGACGCUAGAAUGCACCCUGCAGAGGACGCACUGGAAAGGACUCCUGUGCUGCCGGAACAGCAAGCCAUGGCUGAAUCUGGCGUGAUCUUCCCCUUCCUCUCGGCUCUGCCUCAACAGUCUCCUUUUAGCCUCGUGUGUCCUUGCUACUCCAUCGUGGCCACAGGGCCUUUCAACACGCUGCUGCCUCUGCUUGGAUGGUGGGUCAAUCCCUUGCUCGUCAGAUUAACUGCUACUCAUCAUCUGGAUUUUGGUUCCUGGUCAUCUCUUCAGGGAUGCCAUCCCCUGCUAAAUCGAAUCUCUAUCAUCUUUU